rnacentral:rRNA from 1 species
UGGGGAAUAUUGGACAAUGGGCGCAAGCCUGAUCCAGCAAUGCCGCGUGUGUGAAGAAGGCCUUCGGGUUGUAAAGCACUUUUAUCAGGAGCGAAACGCUGUCGGCUAAUACCCGGCGGAACUGACGGUACCUGAGGAAUAAGCACCGGCUAACUUCGUGCCAGCAGCCGCGGUAAUACGAAGGGCGCAAGCGUUAAUCGGAAUUACUGGGCGUAAAGCGUGCGUAGGCGGUUUCUUAAGUCUGCUGUGAAAUCCCCGGGCUCAACCUGGGAAUGGCAGUGGAUACUGGGAGGCUAGAGUGUGUCAGAGGGUGGUGGAAUUCCCGGUGUAGCGGUGAAAUGCGUAGAGAUCGGGAGGAACAUCAGUGGCGAAGGCGGCCACCUGGGACAACACUGACGCUGAGGCACGAAAGCGUGGGGAGCAAACAGGAUUAGAUACCUUGGUAGUCCACGCCCUAAACGAUGCGAACUGGAUGUUGGUCUCAACUCGGAGAUCAGUGUCGAAGCUAACGCGUUAAGUUCGCCGCCUGGGGAGUACGGUCGCAAGACUGAAACUCAAAUGAAUUGACGGGGUCAUAGCUGUUUCC